AGCUAACGCGUUAAGUCGACCGCCUGGGGAGUACGGCCGCAAGGUUAAAACUCAAAUGAAUUGACGGGGGCCCGCACAAGCGGUGGAGCAUGUGGUUUAAUUCGAUGCAACGCGAAGAACCUUACCUGGUCUUGACAUCCACAGAACUUUCCAGAGAUGGAUUGGUGCCUUCGGGAACUGUGAGACAGGUGCUGCAUGGCUGUCGUCAGCUCGUGUUGUGAAAUGUUGGGUUAAGUCCCGCAACGAGCGCAACCCUUAUCCUUUGUUGCCAGCGGUCCGGCCGGGAACUCAAAGGAGACUGCCAGUGAUAAACUGGAGGAAGGUGGGGAUGACGUCAAGUCAUCAUGGCCCUUACGACCAGGGCUACACACGUGCUACAAUGGCGCAUACAAAGAGAAGCGACCUCGCGAGAGCAAGCAGACCUCAUAAAGUGCGUCGUAGUCCGGAUUGGAGUCUGCAACUCGACUCCAUGAAGUCGGAAUCGCUAGUAAUCGUGGAUCAGAAUGCCACGGUGAAUACGUUCCCGGGCCUUGUACACACCGCCCGUC
rnacentral:rRNA from 1 species